rnacentral:rRNA from 1 species
UACGGAAGGGGCAAGCGUUGUUCGGAAUCAUUGGGCGUAAAGGGCGCGUAGGUGGUUCUGUAUGUCUGCCGUGAAAGCGUACGGCUCAACUGUAUUUUGUCGGUGGAAACUGCAGGACUUGAGGCUGGGAGGGGCUGGUGGAAUUCCCUGUGUAGCGGUGAAAUGCGUAGAGAUGGGGGAGAACACUCGUGGCGAAGGCGGCCAGCUAGACCAGUUCUGACACUGAGGCGCGACAGCGUGGGGAGCAAACAGG